rnacentral:rRNA from 1 species
UGCAAGUCGAACGGUAACAGGAAGCAGCUUGCUGCUUUGCUGACGAGUGGCGGACGGGUGAGUAAUGUCUGGGAAACUGCCUGAUGGAGGGGGAUAACUACUGGAAACGGUAGCUAAUACCGCAUAACGUCGCAAGACCAAAGAGGGGGACCUUCGGGCCUCUUGCCAUCGGAUGUGCCCAGAUGGGAUUAGCUUGUUGGUGGGGUAACGGCUCACCAAGGCGACGAUCCCUAGCUGGUCUGAGAGGAUGACCAGCCACACUGGAACUGAGACACGGUCCAGACUCCUACGGGAGGCAGCAGUGGGGAAUAUUGCACAAUGGGCGCAAGCCUGAUGCAGCCAUGCCGCGUGUAUGAAGAAGGCCUUCGGGUUGUAAAGUACUUUCAGCGGGGAGGAAGGGAGUAAAGUUAAUACCUUUGCUCAUUGACGUUACCCGCAGAAGAAGCACCGGCUAACUCCGUGCCAGCAGCCGCGGUAAUACGGAGGGUGCAAGCGUUAAUCGGAAUUACUGGGCGUAAAGCGCACGCAGGCGGUUUGUUAAGUCAGAUGUGAAAUCCCCGGGCUCAACCUGGGAACUGCAUCUGAUACUGGCAAGCUUGAGUCUCGUAGAGGGGGGGGUAGAAUUCCAGGUGUAGCGGGUGAAAUGCGUAGAGAUCUGGAGGAAUACCGGUGGCGAAGGCGGCCCCCUGGACGAAGACUGACGCUCAGGUGCGAAAGCGUGGGGAGCAAACAGGAUUAGA